GCGGCCUAUCAGCUUGUUGGUGAGGUAACGGCUCACCAAGGCUAUGACGGGUAGCUGGUCUGAGAGGACGACCAGCCACACUGGAACUGAGACACGGUCCAGACACCUACGGGUGGCAGCAGUCGAGAAUUUUUCUCAAUGGGCGAAAGCCUGAAGGAGCGACGCCGCGUGGAGGAUGAAGGUCUUCGGAUCGUAAACUCCUGUCAUGAGAGAGUAAGACAUUACGUUAACUGCGUGGAUGUUUGAUAGUACCUCAAGAGGAAGAGACGGCUAACUCUGUGCCAGCAGCCGCGGUAAUACAGAGGUCUCAAGCGUUGUUCGGAUUCAUUGGGCGUAAAGGGUGCGUAGGCGGCUUGGUAAGUCAGAUGUGAAAUCCUGGGGCUCAACCUCGGAACUGCAUUUGAUACUGCCAGGCUAGAGUACUGGAGGGGAGACUGGAAUUCCU
rnacentral:rRNA from 1 species